CUCAGACUCUCCCACUCCACCCUACGACACGGUUAUGCUACUCUCUGGGGGCAGGCAGUCCGUGGAAGAAGUUCAGUUAGAAGACUUUCUUCACAUCUUGAGAAAGAAGGGAUUGAACCCCUUUCCUUUAGAGAACAGCCCUCUAUUUCGUCUGGGGCUCGUUACAGCAAGCACAGCUGAGGACUGCCUCCAGGAAUCUAGAAGAGCUUCCAGUGGAGCCCAUGGAAGAAUUGAAAGAAGUGGAAAAUUAUGCAAACCGCGUCUGUAACUUACCAGAGGCAAAAGAAGCAUUUUCUCAUGGUUGUGAAAAGGAAAGCAGACAGCCUAGACAUGAGUUUAAAGAGUUCCAACUCAAACCAGGUAGUUUUCCUUUUGUCAAAAUGUAAAUUUUAUUUUUUCUCUAGUUUUCAUAAUUAGCACGUGACAUUAUAGAAAAUUUGGGGCAUGUAUAAAAGGAGAGGGAAGGAGAAAAAUUAACACAUACCCUCCACCUUUAGAAAAGUACUUGUAAUAUUUUAGGGGUACCUUUUUUUUUUUUUUUUUUGACUUUUGGCCAUUUCUUGGGCCGUUCCCGCAGCAUAUGGAGGUUCCCAGGCUAGGAGUUGAAUCGGAGCUGUAGCUGCUGGCCUACGCCAGAGCCACAGCCACGCGGGAUCCGAGCCGCGUCUGCAACCUACACCACAGCUCACGGCAAAGCCGGAUCCUUAACCCACUGAGCAAAGGCAGAGAUCGAACCUGCAACCUCAUGGUUCCUAGUCGGAUUCACUAACCCCUGAGCCACGGCGGAAACUCCACUUAAGGGGUACUUUCUGCUGGCCUUUUUAAGGUAUGUAUUCUGAAAUAUUCUCAAAUGUGUGUGAGAGAGUGCAGAAUGCGCUUUUCUUUCAUGUCCGUUACAGCUCUUACCACACCGUGUCCUAAUUACCUGUGUCUGUUUUUCUGGGGUCUGCAGAGAUCGCACCAUAGUCUUAGUGGUUUCUGGGGUCUCCAAGCACCUGCCCUAGAAAGUACUUAGCACAUUAAGGUUUAGGAACUGUUUGUGAAGUACUCCAAAACUCCUAGGCAAGAUACUGUAUUUGGUUUAACUCCAUAAAUUAGAUAUUAUUAUGAUGCAUGAUCAGUGACUUUAUUUUUACCACAUAUUCAUCAUUUUCUUUGCUCAGCAUUUUCUCUUGCCUCUCAGAUACUCUAUUUGGGAUGAUUUUCCUUUUUUCAUUUUAGAACUUCCUUUCACAAAGAUCUGUGGAUGGAAAUUUUUGCUUUAUUUU
rnacentral:lncRNA from 1 species